rnacentral:misc_RNA from 1 species
UCAUCCCUGUUCCGCCUUCGCA